rnacentral:rRNA from 1 species
UUGAACGCUGGCGGCAUGCCUUACACAUGCAAGUCGAACGGCAGCACGGGGGCAACCCUGGUGGCGAGUGGCGAACGGGUGAGUAAUACAUCGGAACGUGCCCUGAAGUGGGGGAUAACGUAGCGAAAGUUACGCUAAUACCGCAUAUUCUGUGAGCAGGAAAGCAGGGGAUCGCAAGACCUUGCGCUUUAGGAGCGGCCGAUGUCGGAUUAGCUAGUUGGUGAGGUAAAGGCUCACCAAGGCGACGAUCCGUAGCGGGUCUGAGAGGAUGAUCCGCCACACUGGGACUGAGACACGGCCCAGACUCCUACGGGAGGCAGCAGUGGGGAAUUUUGGACAAUGGGCGCAAGCCUGAUCCAGCCAUGCCGCGUGAGUGAAGAAGGCCUUCGGGUUGUAAAGCUCUUUCGGCGGGGAAGAAAUCGCACUUUCUAAUACAGAGUGUGGAUGACGGUACCCGAAUAAGAAGCACCGGCUAACUACGU